rnacentral:lncRNA from 1 species
CAAAGGAGGUAGUAUUAGGGCUUGGUUUGAAAUUUCAGGAGUUGCUUGCCAAGGGGCAGAUAGAUGGAGGGUGGCGAACAGGGGAGGAAGGAUGGGGGCAGAGACAUGCGGGAGAGCAUGCCCGGGAGCCUUUUGUCUGCGAUAUUGCCACCAGAGUGUCUAGUCCAAGAGGGGCCGGUUAAUCCAUGAAGCCGGAGCAGUCGGUGGAGGCCAGAACAAUGAGCUCCACACAGGAGGAAUUAUGUCACAGUCUUGGGAUCCCUGGACCUGGCGAAGGGCCUGACCCAGACCCUUUGCUGCCUAUUGAUGGAGGAAGGCAGGACGAGGAACGGGGAAAGGAGCUGUUUUGCAGAUACUGCCACCCCCACCAAGUAGGAGAAGUUAAAGUUGACUACAUGAUGGCCGGACUACACCCAUGACACAAGCUGCUCCAUCUUACAGUAUUCUGAGAACUGGCUUUGAGGAUGUGGGAGAUAACCAACCCUGUAGCUGAAGAUUAACUAUGCUUAAAACAAGACCACCGCAUGACCACUCUCAAGAUGACCGUCAGAGCUGACUCUGAUGUUCUGCACACAGCCACCUCCCUCCCUCCUGACUCUCUCCUUUCAAGCUCUUAUUCUGGGACUUCCCUGGUAGUCCAGCAGUUAAGAAUUGGCCUUCCAAUGCAGGGGGCCUGGGUUCAAUUCCUGCCUUGGGAACUAAGAUCCCCCAUGCCCCCGGGCAAGUAAAGCCUUGCACCACAACUCCAGAGAAGCCCGCAUGCCGCAACCAAGAUCUGAC